UGGGUUUAAAGGGAGCGUAGACGGCAGCACAAGUCUGGAGUGAAAUGCCGGGGCUUAACCCCGGAACUGCUUUGGAAACUGCCAUGCUAGAGUGCUGGAGAGGUAAGUGGAAUUCCUAGUGUAGCGGUGAAAUGCGUAGAUAUUAGGAGGAACACCAGUGGCGAAGGCGGCUUACUGGACAGUAACUGACGUUGAGGCUCGAAAGCGUGGGGAGCAAACAG
rnacentral:rRNA from 1 species